rnacentral:tRNA from 1 species
GGGACAGUAGCUCAGGUGGUAGAGCAGUGGACUGAAAAUCCACGUGUCGUGUGGUUCAACUCCCACCUGUCCCA